AACGAACGCUGGCGGCAUGCCUAACACAUGCAAGUCGAACGAGACCUUCGGGUCUAGUGGCGCACGGGUGCGUAACGCGUGGGAACCUGCCCUUAGGUUCGGAAUAACUCCCCGAAAGGGGUGCUAAUACCGGAUAAUGUCUUCGGACCAAAGAUUUAUCGCCUUUGGAUGGGCCCGCGUUGGAUUAGCUAGUUGGUAGGGUAAAAGCCUACCAAGGCGACGAUCCAUAGCUGGUCUGAGAGGAUGAUCAGCCACACUGGGACUGAGACACGGCCCAGACUCCUACGGGAGGCAGCAGUGGGGAAUAUUGGACAAGGGGCGAAAGCCUGAUCCAGCAAGGCCGCGUGAGUGAUGAAGGCCUUAGGGUUGUAAAGCUCUUUUACCCGGGAUGAUAAUGACAGUACCGGGAGAAUAAGCUCCGGCUAACUCCAU
rnacentral:rRNA from 1 species